rnacentral:rRNA from 1 species
UGCGCAGGCGGACUAAUAAGUCAGAGGUGAAAUCCCACAGCUUAACUGUGGAACUGCCUUUGAUACUGUUAGUCUUGAGUGCAGUUGAGGUAGGCGGAAUGUGUCAUGUAGCGGUGAAAUGCUUAGAUAUGACACAGAACACCAAUCGUGAAGACAGCUUACCAAGCUGCUACUGACGCUCAGGCACGAAAGCGUGGGUAGCGAACAGGAUUAGAUACCCUGGUAGUCC